CCACCGGGUCAAUAUGCAACCCACAAAUCCAAAAUACCCAACUCACGAACCCCACACAAAUCCCUGAAACUUGACGAGUGCUUUUGUAAUUAAAAUACACACAAAAACAUCGUCAACAGAGAGUACAGCUACACAGCCAAAUUCUCAAUCUUCACACAUUUAUUUAAAUUAACGACUCUUUUUAGAGUCGGCACCUAACAUAAUACCAACUCUAAAAAAAGUCAGAAAAAAGUUUCCCGACGCUAUAUUAAAGUGUUGGUAUAUUUAUCCUAGCAUGUUUAUUUAACGACUCUUUAUCCGACACUUUUAAAAGUGUUAGGGUUAUUUUUGCCGACGCUUUAA
rnacentral:lncRNA from 1 species